CCUUCGAUAGCUCAGUUGGAAGAGCGUGAGACUGUAACUGGAUAUAUGAGCGCAUCUCAAGGUCACUGGUUCGAUCCCGGUUCGAAGGA
rfam:Ceriporiopsis subvermispora B unplaced genomic scaffold CERSTscaffold_8, whole genome shotgun sequence.